AGCGAACGUUUGCGGCGGGCCUAACACAUGCAAGUCGAACGAGAAGCCCUUCGGGGUGGACAGUGGCGCACGGGUGCGUAACACGUGGGUAAUCAACCUUUUAGUCUGGGACAACCAGAGGAAACUCUGGCUAAUACCGGAUGUUGCUGACGGAACCCCGGUUCUGUCAGCCAAAGACCCGCAAGGGUUGCUAGAAGACGAGCCCGCGGCCCAUCAGUUAGUUGGUGAGGUAAUGGCUCACCAAGGCUAAGACGGGUAGCUGGUCUGAGAGGAUGAUCAGCCACACUGGAACUGAGACACGGUCCAG
rnacentral:rRNA from 1 species